rnacentral:rRNA from 1 species
GACGAACGCUGGCGGCGUGCUUAACACAUGCAAGUCGAGCGGUAAGGCCCUUUCGGGGGUACACGAGCGGCGAACGGGUGAGUAACACGUGGGUGACCUGCCCUUAGCUCUGGGAUAAGCCUGGGAAACUGGGUCUAAUACCGGAUAUGACUCCAUGACGCAUGUUGUGGGGUGGAAAGCCUUGCGCGGCUAGGGAUGGGCCCGCGGCCUAUCAGCUUGUUGGUGGGGUGAUGGCCUACCAAGGCGACGACGGGUAGCCGGCCUGAGAGGGCGACCGGCCACACUGGGACUGAGACACGGCCCAGACUCCUACGGGAGGCAGCAGUGGGGAAUCUUGCGCAAUGGGCGAAAGCCUGACGCAGCGACGCCGCGUGAGGGAUGACGGCCUGGUGUAACU